rnacentral:rRNA from 1 species
UUCGGUCUCUAGUGCGAACUGGUCCUACCUUUUCCCAUUUCGAACAGAGUCGUAAAACGGUUCAGCGCCUACGAUAGUAGUCUGGCAACGGACUUGCGAAAAUAGGUCGAGGCCGGAA